rnacentral:snRNA from 1 species
GUGCUCUCUUCGGCAGCACAUAUUCUAAAAUUCAAAUGAUACACAGAUUGGUAUGACUCCUGUGCAAGGGCAAUGCACAAAACCAUGAAGCUUUUAUAUUUUUA